rnacentral:rRNA from 1 species
GCUGAAGCUCCAGCUUGCUGGGGUGGAUGAGUGGCGAACGGGUGAGUAACACGUGAGUAACCUGCCCUCCACUUCGGGAUAAGCACUGGAAACGGUGUCUAAUACUGGAUGUGACAUCAGCCUGCAUGGGUUGGUGUGGAAAGAUUUUUUGGUGGUGGAUGGACUCGCGGCCUAUCAGCUUGUUGGUGGGGUAAUGGCCUACCAAGGCGACGACGGGUAGCCGGCCUGAGAGGGUGACCGGCCACACUGGGACUGAGACACGGCCCAGACUCCUACGGGAGGCAGCAGUGGGGAAUAUUGCACAAUGGGCGAAAGCCUGAUGCAGCGACGCCGCGUGAGGGAUGACGGCCUUCGGGUUGUAAACCUCUUUCAGCCUUGACGAAGCCCUUUUGGGGUGACGGUAGGGGCAGAAGAAGCACCGGCUAACUACGUGCCAGCAGCCGCGGUAAUACGUAGGGUGCGAGCGUUGUCCGGAAUUAUUGGGCGUAAAGAGCUUGUAGGCGGUUUGUCGCGUCUGCUGUGAAAGCCCGGGGCUUAACUCCGGGUCUGCAGUGGGUACGGGCAGGCUAGAGUGUGGUAGGGGAGACUGGAAUUCCUGGUGUAGCGGUGGAAUGCGCAGAUAUCAGGAGGAACACCGAUGGCGAAGGCAGGUCUCUGGGCCAUUACUGACGCUGAGAAGCGAAAGCGUGGGGAGCGAACAGGAUUAGAUACCCUGGUAGUCCACGCCGUAAACGUUGGGCGCUAGGUGUG